rnacentral:lncRNA from 1 species
UGGGGGGAAGGGCAAGCAGACCGGCCAGGCUUGGUGCCCUUGUGAGGCUUACACGGGGUGCUCCAGGCAGCGUGUCAGGGACUGGCUUAGAAACCCGUGGGGUUGAGCGCUGGGUGUUGUAUGGAAACCAAUUUGACAAUAAAUUGCAUAUAUUGAAAAAAAAAAGAAAUGCAAAAAAAAAAAAAAACCCACAAGAAACCCACAGAGAAGAGGAGGGGAAAAUAGCACAAAAGACAAAAGCAAAACCAGGUAGCUGGGAGAUGGUGGGAAAACACUGACGUUGGACUGAAGGGUUGGCUUGGACGACUUGACCUCUCUGGGCUUUAGGAACUUCACCCCCCCCUCCCAGCGUGGCACCGGUAAAAAUCCCUCCCCGACAGCUACUCAGGGAAGAGGAAUCGGGUCCGAGUGUAGAAAGCAAAUAUUUAUUGAGAAUCUACUCUGUGCCAGGUGCUGUUAUAGGUAACAGCAACACAGGGAUUAAUAAAAUAAGAGUUUUGCCUUUGAGAAACUCUUAUUUCCGCAUGUACUUGCCCAUGCUGGCGAAGUGAGUGAGGAUAUAGAAACGAACUAAAAAAACAAACGUGUUGAAAGCCUGCUGUGUGACGGUCACUUUGUCCUGUGUUCUGUUACCUCAUUUUAACCUCGCGAGGACACUCCAAGGUGUUGUUCGCUUUACAAAGGAGGAAACUGGCCCAGAGACGUUCACCACGUUUGCCAAAACCACGCAGCUCGUAUGGAGUUUAGGAUGUGAAAUCUCCCCAGACCUCCAAUCCUCUCUCCUUCUCCACGGUUAGAAGCCAGCCAUCUGGAGCGUUCUCAUCUUACCACAGCCAAACCGCAGACCUGUCUAUACCAGCAUCUAGCCUGUCCUUUCCCCUCUUGUUCAAUGGAGAAAGCGUGCUUCUCGGUAUCACACGGAUUCUGGAUCCCAGAACUUCUCUUGGAUCUGUUUGUAGGUUUGGCCUUGUCGGAGCAUGCCAACAGACAGCAGAAUCACCAGCUACAUUUGCUAAGAGAGAUUGUGCCAAACUGAUGCACUUGACCGCCCGAGGAAACAACUCCCUGCUCUUCCAGGAAAAGGAGACCAAGAAAGACAAGCUACAGGGGCCAUCCUCGGAACACAACUUCGCAAAGUGCUGGCCGGCAGCCUGGUCUCCAGAAGUCACGCUGACUUUAUCCUUUUAUGGGUAUAGAGAACGAUCCUUUUAUGGAUUGCCUCAGCCCCACUCCCCACGUCCUGCCAUCUUGAAUUCCUGGUCAGCAUUUGCCCUCCAGAGAAAGGUUGAACCUCCCGAGGCUGAGGUAACCCAUAGCUAGUCUGUGCUGUCCAGAAGAUGGCAUGGGGUCCCACAAAGGAGGUACAAUCUCACGCAGCCAAAGGAGUCUUUACGGAUGAAACCUGAACGGGACAGAGAGAGCUUUGACCUUCUGCCUAACACGUUGAGUCAGCUGGUAGUUGAGUUCGGUUGGUUGGCUGUGUCUCAGAUGUCAGUAGGAGACGAAGCAAAGAUGUUCUGCUUGCUGAAGUUUUCCUUUCUCCAUGGACCAGAUGUUCUUUUGGAAAGAGCCUUGGAUUUGGAAUCGCAAAAACCUGGAUUUAAACCCUUUUGUGUCAUUUACCCUAGUGACCUCCCUAAGCCCAAUGCCCUCGCCUAACCAGUGAAAAUCUCACAGUCCCCAGCUGGUAAGUGGCAGAGCUUGGAUUUGAAUCCAGGACUCUUGACUCCACCUCCACCUGCGGUCGAAUGAUAGAUGGCAAAGAGAUGUCUAAACUGCACGCAAAAGGGCAGGCUGUGGUAAAUGUGAACACCUCCUCCCGGUGGCUGAAAGCCAGGAAGGAGUGAGAGAGCAGACGCUAAUGUUCUCCCAUUAAUCAAGGCAGAGUGUGUGCUCUGUGCCCUUAAGAGGGCUUAGGACUUGGAAUUGCUUCUGCUUCACGGCCUGUCUCUGGCACAGCCUGGGCUAGAGCCCUGGGGGUACUGGAGACACUGCCCAGAUACGUGUCUGCUCACCUACACCCUCGGCCCGACUCCUUUCAUGGCCCUUCCAUUUCACAACCGUCACUGUGUCCGGGCCACACCCAGAAGGAAUGGGAUACACAUCCCGCCAGUCUGGGUUAUCUAGGUCUAAAACAUACUUUGUUCCUUUGGUGAUUUCAUCUGGAAGGCCCCAUGGAACUGAAUGACUGACUUUCCUCCUUUAGCUUUAAUCAAAGGGACGGCCGCUCCUACCCGUCCAAGGAUGGGGGUUUCCAUGACAUUGUCGGGGUCAGAGGCAAGGGCCCGGAUUUUUGAAUCAGACAGCCCCCUAUUUAAUCCCGGUCUCUGGUUAUUUCUGUAGGACCUUCAGUGAUGCCACUUGACCUCUCUAUACUUCAUUUUACCUUUCCUAUAAAGUGAGGCAACGAUCCCUUCGUCUAGGGCUCUGAGGACUCCACCAGGUAGCGUAGUGAUGUGGUAGGUGCUGAGCAGACCUCAGAAACCAGAAGGUUCUCUCUCCUUCCCGAUUCUGUCCCUUCUCUUGACAGUAGAGUAGAUCCACUCAAAGAAGGAAGUAGACUCCACCUGGAACCUGGGGCGGUUUGAGCAGACCUCCACUGAGUCCUCAGGUGUAUGUGGGGGAGGAUUAACGAUCUUAGACAAGUCUUCCCGGGAGGAGAGGGGCUGGGAAGUAUUGGAGGUAUUGAAGGCAAGGAGAGAAAAGACCAGAUGGGGAUGUGCUAAGUAUAGUAACAAGCAGUAAUAGUGAUAGAGUGCCUCAUUUAAUUGAACACUUACUAUGUGCCAACAUUGUACUUGGAAAUUUACAUGUGUUUCUUAAUCCUCCUCUUGUCAUCCCCAUUUCACAGAUGAAGCAACCAUCUGACAAGCGUCUGGAUACGCCAGUAACUGCGACUUGAAACUACAUGUCACCCAGUGCUCUGGGGAAGGGUGGGAGACGUAGAGGUGGUGGUAACUCAGGCUGGCCUGGAGGUCCCUGCCCUGGGGGAGGCUCAAGUCCUCCGUGGUUUGUGACCCAGCCCGGGCGAGGCAGGAAGUAUGGGGCCUCCUCAGGCAGAGGGCCUGUCUCCCCAGCUCAAACGUGAGCACCUCCAAACCAGGGCCCCGUCUGCCUGCUCCCUCUGGUAGGGGCGCAAUCUGUGUUUAAUGGAAGCAAGAAACACUACCGUUUUCCCCUUUUCCUUGUGGGGUCGCCCUGUGUGGAAUGACGUCUUUGACAACAUAGAGCUUGUCACGGUUGCCAAACCACUUUCCUAUCCGUUAUUCUGGAGACCACCUGCCACCCAGGAAGUCUCUCCUCCUCCCCACUGCUGACACCUAAGGGGUCACCAAGUCUGGCCAAUUCUUCCCUUUAUAGUCGAACUCGCCUGUCCUUCUGCAUCUUCCCCACUGCCAUCACCUAGACGCAGGCCUCUGUCGCUUCCUCCCCCGACGGCUCCGUACCUGCCCUCCUCACUUCCCGGCUUGCCCUGUGCUAAGCCCCCUUUCUAUCCAAGAGUCAGAGAGAUCUCUCUAUCUCUCUUUUUUUAAGUGCAUUCAUUUAUUUUGAGAGAGAGAGAGAGAGCGCACAAGCCAGGGAGGGGCAAAGAGAGAGGGAGAGAGAGAAUCCCAAGCAGGCUCUGCACUUUCAGGGCAGAGCUCGAACUCACGAACCGUGAGAUUAUGACCUGAGCCGAAACCAAGAGUCAGAUGCUUAACCGACUGCGCCCCCCAGGUGGCCCCAGAGAGAUGGCUCUUAAAUAAAACUGCUCGUUUCUCGCCUGUUGCCUUAGCA